GACGAACGCUGGCGGCGCGCUUAACACAUGCAAGUCGAGCGAAGCGGCGGACGGGUGAGUAACACGUGAGUAACCUGCCUUAGACAUUGGGAUAGCCUCGGGUAACCGGGAUUAAUACCAAAUGGUCUAAGAUGGACUCGAGUCCCAUUAAGUAGUUGGUGAGGUAACGGACCAACAAAGAGACGAUGGGUAGCCGGCCUGAGAGGGUGAACGGCCACAUUGGAACUGAGAACCGGUCCAAACUCUACGGGAUGGGGCAGUGGGGAAUAUUGCACAAGGGAGGGAACUAUGAUGCAGCGACGCCGCGUGAACGAAGAAGGCUUUCGAGUCGUAAAGUUCUUUUAUAUGGGAAGCGGUACCAUAAGAAAAAGCCCCGGCUAACUACGUGCCAGCAGCCGCGGUAAUUC
rnacentral:rRNA from 1 species